GACGAACGCUGGCGGCGUGCCUAAUACAUGCAAGUCGAACGCAGGGGGGACGGGUGAGUAAAACGUGGGUAACCUCCCAUCAGAGGGGAUAACACUUGGAAACAGGUGCUAAAACCGAUAUUGAGGGAUGGACCCGCGGUGCAUUAGCUAGUUGGUGAGGUAACGGCUCACCAAGGCCACGAUGCAUAGCCGUCCUGAGAGGUUGAUCGCCCACACUGGCACUGAGACACGGCCCCGACUCCUCCGGGAGGCAGCAGUAGGGAAUCUUCGGCAAUGGACGAAAGUCUGACCUCGCUACGCCGCGUGAGUGAAGAAGUUUUUCGGAUCUUAAUACUCUGUUGUUAGCGAAGCGGUAUCUACCCAGAAAGCCACGGCUAACUACGUGCCAGCCGCCGCGGUAAUUC
rnacentral:rRNA from 1 species